AACUCCAGCUCUGCUGAAUAUGGAUGUGGAGCUCUGCUGACAGAGAGCUGCUUUCCCUUGGGCUGUGGAAAAAACUGGUGCAAACCCCACCAACGUGCUGAAAUAUCUCCAAAGUGGAUAAAAAGGCUGGAGCUGGAUCUCAGCUGGGGCUGGUUUGGGAUGGGCAGUGGUCGGAGCCAGGCUGGGAGGGCUGGGGGUGCUCACCUGGAGAAGAGAAAGCUCCAGGGAAACCUUCCAGGGCCUAAAGGGGCUCCAGGAGAGCUGGAGAGGCACUUGGGACAAGGGAUGAAGGGACAGGACACAGGGAAUGGCUCCCACUGCCAGAGGGCAGGGAUGGAUGGAUAUUGGGAAGGAAUUCCUGGCUGUUAGGGUGGGGAGGCCCUGGCAGAGGGUGUCCAGAGAAGCUGUGGCUGUCCCAUCUCUGAAAGCGUCCAAGGCCAGGUUGGUGGGGCUUGGAGCAACGUGGGAUAGAGGAAGGUGUCCCUGUCCAUGGCAGGGGGUGGAACAGGAUGGGUUUUAAGGUCCCUUCCAACCCAAACCACUGUGGGAUUCUGUGGAUGCUCAGUGCUCCAUCCCUGCCUCCCCAUGAGAGUGAGCGUAACCUAUCCCCACAAUCAGAGCUACAAAAACGAUCAAACCCUCAAAACUUGGGUGUGUUUCUUUACCAGGAGCAUCACCAAAUUUUCUCAAAACCUUUUCCACACUUGUCUUACUGCAGGGAAUCCAUAAUGUCUCUGCCCACCAGGAAGAAGAGGAGUCCAGAGAGGAGCGCCAGGGGCACCCCGGCGGCGGCGAACAUGAAGGACCAGCCGUAGUAGACGUGCACGGGGACACCAUCCAGGCACCUCUCGCUCCUCUCCAGGAGGAUGUACCUCUGGAAGUCCGCUGCAAACUCCUUCCACAUCACAAAGAGAAACACGAGCAGGAGAAACAAACCUCCUGAGGAGAGAGAAAACGGAGUUAUUGUGUGUGCAGGGAAUACAGGAAUAAAGGACACUGGCAUUGGCACCGACACCCGAGACACAGGGUGUGUAUUGGAUUUGGAUCUGGGAGCCUGGAGCUCCAUCCCCCUCUCCCAAUGGAGCCGCUGUGUCUUCUGUGUGGGCAAAUUGAAGUGGAGCUUUUCCUUUCUCUCACUUUAUUUCCUUGUGACACCUUUAUAGCUGCUAAUUGUGGGGACAGGGAUGUUAAUAACAGCGAAAUGGAGGGGUGACCUUCAGCUGCCCUUCCAUAACUGUCAGCCUUCCCUGCACGUGGGGAGCCUGAGACUGCCAAAGUGGAGCUGCUCCAUUUGGGAAGCAGAAUCUGAGCAAAAAAAUCCAGCCCUUUAACUCACAGGAGUGGGAAAUCUGCCUUUUUUUCCAUGCUGUUGGGUCGUGCUGAAGAACAGGUUGGUCCCACCAUGGGCAGGGAUGUGUCCCAUCAUCCCAGGGUGCUCCAAACUCCAUCCAACCUGGCCUGGAACACUUCCAGGGAUGGGGCCUUCACAGCCUCUCUGGGCAACCUGUGCCAGUGCUGCACUUCUAAGUUUGGUCUCUAAAAUACCCAAAGGAAAAGAAAACUGAGGAGCACAAGGCAGGAAAAAAUGAAGGACCAAAAAGUAGGAAAGUUGUCUCAGCAACUCAAAGAGCUUCCAGAAGCUGCAGCACAGAGCUCACCCAGCCCUCCUGGUGACAUUGUAGUGACAAUUAACCAACCUCAGGCUACUGAAACAAAGGGACAAUCAGGCACCAGGCAGGAUCUGCACCCCUUGGAAGCACUGAAGCUCAUUCCAAGAUGGCAAAAGCUGGGAGGAAAGCACACACAGGCUACACUGACACUUGCCUCGUGUAUUCCAAGUGCUUUUGGGAGAAGGCUGGCAUGGAAAACUGCUCAGAAAAUGGCCUCAGCUGCAAAGGCAGCACCAGCAAAUGUCAGAUUGGUAUUAGGUCUUUCCAGAGCCACCCAGGGGAGGAAAUCCAGAGAAAUGGCUCCAAUGCUUUGGAAGGGCUCUCAGAAACACCUUCCAGAGCAAUCCAUUGUUUAUUGGAGCUGGCACAGUCAGGUUUGCCCUCUGGAAUGUACAGUAAAUAAAAGGCAUCCCAGGGGGAAAUCCAAAGGGAUCCAGUUGAGCCAUAACAAUCCUCACCCUUAGGCGCUGGAUGGGACAGAUGGACACACCACCCUCCUCAGGAUGGUCAUCCAUAAAUGUCUGGGAAUGCAUUUGCACCUGUGGUGUCUUUAGAGCCUUUUGGUGAGAAAAGUGACGUCAUUUUGCAAGGAAUAACCACGACUUCUCCCAAAAGCAGGGAGCUGGUGGGCAGAACAAAGCUGCUGGUGAAGGGUUCCCUGCCAGGCUGGGACAUCCCGCAGUCCUGGUGCUCCAUCUCCCAUUCCUGCUGCCAGACCACAUUCCCACUCUGCAGAUUGCCAGCUUUUUCACACUUCCUCAAGGAGAGAUCCUUUCUGCAGGGGAGGUUAAUUAACACUGACCCGCAGGCCAUGAUGAGAAGACAAGAGGAGCUUUCUCCUGCAUCAUCCCUGCACAUCCCAAAGGAAAGGGAUGGGUUGGGGACUCGAGCCUCUGUUAAAUCCAUUGUUCCUACUGCUCAGUGCAAUUAUGCUAAAUAUUUUUAGAAGGGAUAACGAGAAAAUAACCAUGGAGGGAUGCAACACAAAUCCAUCCAGAAGCCAGGGCCAAGCAGGAUCCAGAGGUCUGAGAUCAGGAUAAGCCCCCCGAAUAAAAGGAUCAGUUGAAACACUAAGGAAACUUUGCUGAAAAACACAUUGAAUCCUUCUGCUAUCAUUUGAGUGGAAAAUAUAGCAGGAAGUGUCUUCCAGCUGAACUCAUUCUCCUGAACGACUGUUAAUAACAAUGAUUGCUGUUCAGAUUGAAGCUGCAUUAAUACAAACUUCAAUUUUAACACCAGCAUCUUUGUGUAAUGCCAAGAGGUUUAUGUGAUGCAUAAUCAGCUCUUCCAAAAAGUGUCACAUUCGGAGCCCCAGCCUUUUAAUCAAGGAGUAGUCAAAUAAAGUGGAAAAGCAAUGAAGAAAAAGGAAAAGGAAAAAAAAAAAAAGGAAGACAGUUGAGUAUUACUCGGCAUCCUUUUCUGUGAUAUUUCUGCCCAAUGUGCAGGCUGGACACACUCCUCAGGGACAUCUGCUGUUCCUGGGAGCCUGGACUGCAGAUGGGAAGGGAAAGCUUCCUGCCCUGGUACAGCCCUUGGAUUUUUAUCCAAUAUGCAAUCACAACAACCCCAUGGAAAACUACAGCCUUGGGAAUCUGUUUGUGGAAAAGGCCCAGGGGGUGCCAACAGCUGGACAUGAGCCCAGGGUUCCCAGGUGGGCAGGAGGCCAGUGGCACCUGGCUUGGGUCAGGAAUGGUGUCCAGGGGAUCAGGGCAGUGCUGUCCCCUGUGCUGGCACUGCUGGGGCACCUCCAGUGCUGGGGCAGCUCGGGGACAUUGAGGG